rnacentral:rRNA from 1 species
AUACGUAGGUGACAAGCGUUAUCCGGAUUUACUGGGCGUAAAGGGCGUGUAGGCGGUCUUGCAAGUCAGAAGUGAAAUUCCUGAGCUCAACUCGGGCGCUGCUUCUGAAACUGCAGGACUUGAGUGCUGGAGGGGAUAGCGGAAUUCCUAGUGGAGCGGUAAAAUGCGCAGAUAUUAGGAAGAACACCGGUGGCGAAGGCGGCUAUCUGGCCAGUAACUGACGCUGAGGCGCGAACGCGUGGGGAGCAAACAGGAUUAGAUACCCUGGUAGUCUACGCCGUAAACGAUGAAUUCUAGGUGUAGGGGGUAUCGACUCCCUCUGUGCCGCAGUUAACACAAUAAGUAUUCCGCCUGGGGAGUACGGCCGCAAGGUUGAAACUCAAAUGAAUUGACGGGG